GCGGGCGUGGCGAAACUGGCAGACGCGGCGGGUUUAGGUCCCGUUGGGCCGCGAGGCCCUUGGAGGUUCGAGUCCUCUCGCCCGCAUCA
rnacentral:tRNA from 1 species